rnacentral:tRNA from 1 species
AGGGGGAGUAACUCAAUGGUAGGGUGUUAGUCUGUCGCAUUAAAAAUUACGGGUUCGAAUCCCGUCUCUCUC